GGAAGUGAGAACCAUCUGGCUGUGACAUCUGUCACCCCGCUGAACACCAGGACUGAUGGGGUGGACCUGAUUGGGUAGGCAGGUGUCCCCUUCCUUCCUCGCUGCUUCAUGGGCGUCCCUCCUAAAGCUGUGCGCUUUGUUGAAGUGGACGCCCUUCCCCUGGCAGAGGAGGGCUGGUCAAGGGUGUGCAAGCGCCUGAACUCUCCUGCGAUCAUCUCCAAACAAGCUCUCAAGGUAGUAUUACCAUCCACAGAGCUUAGAUGUUAUUAAAAGCAUGCGAAGUUAUAGGUAAAAAGUAAAACAG
rnacentral:snRNA from 1 species